UCAAAAAUAGCAGCUAGUGGUUAAGGCGUUGGACUUAAGAUCCAAUGGGCAAAAGCCCACGUGGGUUUGAACCCCACUCCUGGUA
rnacentral:tRNA from 1 species